AACGAACGCUGGCGGCAUGCCUAACACAUGCAAGUCGAACGAAGCCUUCGGGCUUAGUGGCGCACGGGUGCGUAACGCGUGGGAAUCUGCCCCUUGCUUCGGAAUAACAGUUAGAAAUGACUGCUAAUACCGGAUGAAGUCUUCGGACCAAAGAUUUAUCGGCAAGGGAUGAGCCCGCGUAGGAUUAGGUAGUUGGUGGGGUAAAGGCCUACCAAGCCGACGAUCCUUAGCUGGUCUGAGAGGAUGAUUAGCCACACUGGGACUGAGACACGGCCCAGACUCCUACGGGAGGCAGCAGUGGGGAAUAUUGGACAAUGGACGCAAGUCUGAUCCAGCAAUGCCGCGUGAGUGAUGAAGGCCUUAGGGUUGUAAAGCUCUUUUACCAGGGAUGAUAAUGACAGUACCUGGAGAAUAAGCUCCGGCUAACUCCGUG
rnacentral:rRNA from 1 species